UACGUAGGUGACCAGCGUUGUCCGGAUUUACUGGGCGUAAAGAGCGCGCAGGCGGUCGUUCAAGUCGAGUGUGAAAGCCCCCGGCUCAACUGGGGAGGGUCACUCGAUACUGAUCGACUUGAAGGCAGGAGAGGGAAGCGGAAUUCCCGGUGUAGUGGUGAAAUGCGUAGAUAUCGGGAGGAACACCAGUGGCGAAGGCGGCUUCCUGGACUGUUCUUGACGCUGAGGCGCGAAAGCUAGGGGAGCAAACGGG
rnacentral:rRNA from 1 species